rnacentral:lncRNA from 10 species
AAAAGCUGGCCACCCGGGCCAGCAGCAGCAACCUGCUCAGGUCCCCUUCCAUGGUGUGGAAGCUUUGUUCUUUCGCUGUUCACAAUGAAUCUUGCUGCUGCUCACUCUUUGGGUCCGCACUAGCUUUAUGAGCUGUAACGCUCACUGCGAAGGUCUGUGGCUUCACUCCUGAAGUCAGCAAGACCACGAACCCACCGGAAGGAGGAAACAACUCCGGAAGCACCACGUUUAAGAGCUGUAACACUCACUGCGAAAGUCUGCAGCUUCACUCCUGAAGUCAGCAAGACCACAAACCCACCGGAAGGAAGAAAUUCCAGACACAUCUAAACAUUGGAAGGAACAAACUCCAGACACACUAUCUUUAAGAACUGUAACACUCACCGCGAGGGUCUGUGGCUUCAUGCUUGAAGUCAGCCGGACCAAGAACCCACCGGAAAGAACCAAUUCCUGACACAAUCAGACAGAGAAUGCUGAUUCACUAUGCAGUGAAACAUGCCUAACGUGUCAACAGCUAAAUGCCCGGUGACAGUGUGGUUGUCUGGGCAACAGAAGAAGUCACCCACGCAAACACUUAAAGGACCAUACUUAUUUUACAAGAGGAACAGUUUUCAAUGGAAUGGAUAUUAAAACACACACCUGGAUCCCUUUACCACAGGUGCUUUGAGAGGCACCAUCAAGGACAGUGAGCUAACGCAGGAGAAUGGAGUCCCAGAAACCUAGGAGGAGAAGACAAAGUGUCAGCCUCUCGGCAUCUGCAGUGUUGCUAGGAAAAGAGCUCUGAUCCCAGGGGCUUACCCACUUCCACAGGUAGGAAGCGUCCCUGAGAGGACUGGAACAUUAGCAUAUCUCAGAUCCAUCUGCAAAACUUUUGCAAACACGGAACUCCCUCGUUCUAAUCUUAUCAGCAACUUCCAGAGCUGAACCUUGAUUAAUCUGGAUACAAAAAGGAUUGAAACGCCACAUAAUAAGCAUUAACAGGAGGGUGUUUCCUUUAUCAAUGAAGCUUGAUUUAUCCAUGAUGAUCUAGUGCAUUCUCCUCCCAAAAAUCAGGAUCAUCCUCUGCAUAUGAAGGAACAGACAAGCCCUCAGCUCUACCACUUUGGAGAGGGGGGGAUUGGACAGCAUGAGCCUUCAAUUGUAUCUCUUGGAUGACCAAGGAAGGCUGGAUUUCUGCACCUAAAAAAUGGAAGCACAAACUGUACAACAAAUACUCUCCAUUCAAGUUGAAGUUCUCAAAUAAGUUCCGUGAAAAAGUUGGUUCAAAUCAUUCAGCCUGGCAUUACUGGAAAUCUCUAACAAGAUUUACAGCGGUGCCACCCCAAUGAAUUCCACCACACUGAAUUCAUUGUUCAUUGAGAGAGAUUAGAAAAUGAAGAUACCAUGCCCCUUGGCUUCCCUGCUAAAGGAGACACUGGGAAAGGAGAGGAAUCUGACACUUUGGGGGUGCGACCCAGCAAUCUGCACUCUGUCAAACUCGUGAGGUGAUGCCCAUGCAUGCACAACUUGGAGCACAUCGUCUGACCUCAGAUGGGUAAAGAAGUGGCAGUUUGAU